rnacentral:rRNA from 1 species
GACGAACGCUGGCGGCGUGCCUAAUACAUGCAAGUAGAACGCUGAAGGAGGAGCUUGCUUCUCCGGAUGAGUUGCGAACGGGUGAGUAACGCGUAGGUAACCUACCUGGUAGCGGGGGAUAACUAUUGGAAACGAUAGCUAAUACCGCAUAAGAGUAGAUGUCGCAUGACAUUUGCUUAAAAGGUGCAACUGCACCACUACCAGAUGGACCUGCGUUGUAUUAGCUAGUUGGUGAGGUAACGGCUCACCAAGGCAGCGAUACAUAGCCGACCUGAGAGGGUGAUCGGCCACACUGGGACUGGGACACGGCCCAGACUCCUACGGGAGGCAGCAGUAGGGAAUCUUCGGCAAUGGACGGAAGUCUGACCGAGCAACGCCGCGUGAGUGAAGAAGGUUGUCGGAUCGUAAAGCUCUGUUGUAAGAGAAGAACGAGUGUGAGAGUGGAAAGUUCACACUGUGACGGUAUCUGACCAGAAAGGGACGGCUAACUACGUG